rnacentral:rRNA from 1 species
UACGUAGGUGGCGAGCGUUGUCCGGAUUUACUGGGCGUAAAGAGCGCGCAGGCGGUCGUUCAAGUCGCGUGUGAAAGCCCCCGGCUCAACUGGGGAGGGUCACGCGAUACUGAUCGACUCGAAGGCAGGAGAGGGAAGUGGAAUUCCCGGUGUAGUGGUGAAAUGCGUAGAUAUCGGGAGGAACACCAGUGGCGAAGGCGGCUCACUGGCCCGAUACUGACGCUGAGGCACGAAAGCGUGGGGAGCAAACAGG